UACGUAGGGUGCGAGCGUUGUCCGGAAUUACUGGGCGUAAAGAGCUCGUAGGUGGUUUGUCGCGUUGUUCGUGAAAACCGGGGGCUUAACCCUCGGCGUGCGGGCGAUACGGGCAGACUAGAGUUCGGUAGGGGAGACUGGAAUUCCUGGUGUAGCGGUGAAAUGCGCAGAUAUCAGGAGGAACACCGGUGGCGAAGGCGGGUCUCUGGGCCGAUACUGACGCUGAGGAGCGAAAGCGUGGGGAGCGAACAGG
rnacentral:rRNA from 1 species